rnacentral:rRNA from 1 species
CUCGGCAAAUUAUCYUCAUAAGUUUGACGAAAAGAGGCCUUCGCAUAAAAUUUAAAUUUUAGACAAAGUUAAAGUUUAAAUUCAUUAUUGCGAUAAAAGAAAAUCGGAAGCCACGACUGUUUACUAAAAACACAAUUCAGAGCGAUGAUAAGUAUCAUAGUAUUCUGGAUGAAAUUUGCUCAAUGCCAUUAACAUAAGAAAGGUGAUAGAAUUCUGUUACUAAUCGAAAGUCUGGUAAAUAGCGGUCUUAACUAUGAGGAUCCAAAGGUAGCAAAAUCAAUUGGCCAUUAAAUGUGGUCGGGUAUCAAUAAUGUAACGAUGGUUUCACUGUCUCUACAACUUGCUCAGUGAAAUUGAACUGUGAGUGCAGAUGCUCACUAACUCAAGGGGGACGGGAAGACCCUAUGCAGCUUU